rnacentral:lncRNA from 1 species
UGGUUUUCAUAGAGCUAUACAUUUAAUUUGAUUUUAUUAACUCUGUAUUUCAUGAUAACUUUUAAUGUGGAUUAAAUCUCCUGGUUAAUGUCUAUAAACAGACAACAUCUAAGGAAGUAAACCAGCGCCAUUAACAACUGAACGCACUUGCUCUGGUAUGACACUGAAGCCUCCUAACUGAGUGACUUUGUAGCUCCUUGCCCAUCAGCUCCAGCGGAGAGAAGAAAGCCAAAACCUCUGGCAGAAGAGGCUGAUAGUAUCAGCACAGCAGCAGCACAUAGAAGCUUCUGGGCACUCAUGCAGUAUUUUUCACUCAUAUUUGUUUCCUGACACAAACAUCUCUUUUAACGUUACUUCCAGAUCUCUAGGAAGAGGACAAAACUCUUCUUGGCAGGUCCUAUGAAAAAUCCAUGGACAGUCAAUCAGCUGUCUUUGUACAGGUGCUCUGAAAAUGAGCUCCGAAAAUGAGCUCCUUGGAAAGGCCCCAGCACCACAGGGAGUACCUGGUACCGCGACUGCCUGGCUACCUGAAUUCUGAGUAGCGCACCUUCACCCUGAGCCACACAUUGGGGGCCCACC